rnacentral:rRNA from 1 species
GAGUUUGAUCCUGGCUCAGGAUGAACGCUGGCGGCGUGCCUAACACAUGCAAGUCGAACGGAUCCAUAUUGAAACCUAGUGAUGUAUGGAUUAGUGGCGGACGGGUGAGUAACGCGUGGAUAACCUGCCGUAUACAGGGGGAUAACACUUAGAAAUAGGUGCUAAUACCGCAUAAGCGCACGGUUCCGCAUGGAACAGUGUGAAAAACUCCGGUGGUAUACGAUGGAUCCGCGUCUGAUUAGCCAGUUGGCGGGGUAACGGCCCACCAAAGCGACGAUCAGUAGCCGGCCUGAGAGGGUGAACGGCCACAUUGGGACUGAGACACGGCCCAAACUCCUACGGGAGGCAGCAGUGGGGAAUAUUGCACAAUGGGGGAAACCCUGAUGCAGCGACGCCGCGUGAGUGAAGAAGUAUCUCGGUACGUAAAGCUCUAUCAGCAGGGAAGAAAAUGACGGUACCUGACUAAGAAGCCCCGGCUAACUACGUGCCAGCCGCCGCCGUAAG